GCCGUCGUGGUGUAGUGGCUAGCACACUAGGCGUGUAUUCGAGAGGUCCGAGGUUCGAGCCCCGGCGAGAGCA
rnacentral:tRNA from 1 species